GAACUUGAUGAUGAAGAAUUGGUGGAGUAUAUACUGACGGGUUUGGACUACGAGUUCAAUCCAUUGGUGUCUGCGGUGGUGGCCAGAACUGGUGCUAUCUCCCUAGGUGAGUUGUAUGCCCAGAUGCUCGCCUUCGAGA
rfam:Setaria italica strain Yugu1 chromosome II, whole genome shotgun sequence.